rnacentral:rRNA from 1 species
UACAGAGGGGGCUAGCGUUAUUCGGAAUUAUUGGGCGUAAAGGGCGCGUAGGCGGCCAUGCGUGUCUUCCGUGAAAUCCCUCGGCUUAACUGAGGACGUGCGGAAGAAACUGCAAGGCUCGAGUCCGGGAGAGGGGGGUGGAAUUCCCAGUGUAGCGGUGAAAUGCGUAGAUAUCUGGAGGAACACCGGUGGCGAAGGCGGCAUCCUGGACCGACACUGACACUGAGGAGCGAAAGCCAGGGGAGCAAACGGG